AGCGAACGCUGGCGGCAGGCCUAACACAUGCAAGUCGAACGGAUCCUUCGGGAUUAGUGGCACGGGUGAGUAACACGUGGGAACGUGCCCUUUGGUUCGGAACAACUCAGGGAAACUUGAGCUAAUACCGGAUGUGCCCUUCGGGGGAAAGAUUUAUCGCCAUUGGAGCGGCCCGCGUCUGAUUAGCUAGUUGGUGAGGUAAAGGCUCACCAAGGCGACGAUCAGUAGCUGGUCUGAGAGGAUGAUCAGCCACAUUGGGACUGAGACACGGCCCAAACUCCUACGGGAGGCAGCUGAGGGGAAUCUUGCGCAAUGGGCGAAAGCCUGACGCAGCCAUGCCGCGUGAAUGAUGAAGGUCUUAGGAUUGUAAAAUUCUUUCACCGGGGACGAUAAUGACGGUACCCGGAGAAGAAGCCCCGGCUAACUUCGUGCCAGCCGCCGCCGUAAAAC
rnacentral:rRNA from 1 species